rnacentral:misc_RNA from 1 species
GGGUGAGUUUUACUGCCUCUUGAAAUAUCCUUCUUCAUUGUGGUUUGAGUGUCUAACAGUUGUAGUUUGUUUUUUGGAAAUAAUAGUUGUGUUUUUCUUUCUAAUAAUUUGUCUUUAUUUGUUUAUUCUUUGAUUUGUCUUUUCAUUUUCUUGUGCAGCAUAUAUAUUUUGUCUUAAUGCAUCAUGAAGAACAUUAAAUAUCUUUUUUUCUCAGCUAUGUUAUGGUCCUUGUUUAUAUAACUUAUUAUCUUGUGACAUGCAUGUGACAAAAUGGCUAGCGCCUAGUAAAUGGCACAAUGAUUUAAUGUAGAUCAAGGUAGUUAUUCUAGAGAACAUCUUUGAUUAUUUACUUAUUCUGAACUAGCAAUUUACCUUGUUUGAUUUUGAAUUUUUGAGUAACUUUCAUUCCAUCACAUCAUUGGAUCAAUCUUGGAAGGAUAAACUAGAAAAAUUUUUUGAAGAACAGGAUUGCCUCUCUGCUUUAUUGCAUUCUGUAGCCAUCACUAAAACUACCGAUGUCAUUAAGUGAACUGAUAACCAGAGGUGUAUUGCUUUCUUUAAAUUGUUUUAUUGGAAAUCUUGACUGCAUUUGUUCCUUGAGUUCUGAUUCCUGCAAAAAGCUAAGACUGUUGUCUCUUUUCUUGUUUACAAGCUCUUACCUUGGGAAGCAGUGCCCAACACCAGAGAUUUCCUUCUCUGGCAAUAAUUUUUUGUCAUUGCUAGCGUCCAAUCCACAGCAUAAUCUUACAUACUAUAUUAUCUUAUUGUUGGCAUUAUCUACUUUUUCAGGUAUCAUCUAUACCGAGAUGAG